AGGAAAAUGACACGCCGUCUCCAUCACCCGAAGCACAACCUAUAUACAAUACUAAUGAUGACAACAUUAAUGUACCACAACAACAGCAGAGUCAGGCACGGCCUACUGAGGAAUCAGCAGCUAUUGUAUUUUAUGAUUCCGCCCUGAUUGAGGACAGUCCAGCACCUCGAAAUUACAGACCACCAGCUAGUGCAAUUUCGAGAAAACUGUUUGCUUCCUCAUCCAGCUCCAUUGUUGGAACUAGCCAAAGCAUUUUACGGAAUAACCAGUUAGACAACACUCCUCCUCCAAAUCCUCAUGUUUAUCAUCCCAGCCUGUCCCCUCCAACUGUAACACUUUCCCAUACGCCCACACCUUCACCUUCACGCCGUGGUUCCACCCCAGUAGCCUCCCCAGUCAUUCCAAGAACUGCGGCUUCAUCAUUUUCACGUCACACAGCUUCAGUAGCUUCACCUUCUCGGCGCUCUAGGACAGUUCGUGGUAGUCGAGGUGGUUCUGUGU